rnacentral:rRNA from 1 species
UACGAAGGGGGCUAGCGUUGCUCGGAAUUACUGGGCGUAAAGCGCACGUAGGCGGCUUUGUAAGUUAGAGGUGAAAGCCCGGGGCUCAACCCCGGAAUUGCCUUUAAGACUGCAUCGCUAGAAUUGUGGAGAGGUGAGUGGAAUUCCGAGUGUAGAGGUGAAAUUCGUAGAUAUUCGGAAGAACACCAGUGGCGAAGGCGACUCACUGGACACAUAUUGACGCUGAGGUGCGAAAGCGUGGGGAGCAAACAGG